UACGUAGGGUGCAAGCGUUGUCCGGAAUUAUUGGGCGUAAAGAGCGCGUAGGCGGUCCGAUAAGUCGGCUGUGAAAGUCAGGGGCUCAACCCUUGAAAGCCGGCCGAUACUGUCGGACUAGAGUCCGGAAGAGGCAAGUGGAAUUCCCGGUGUAGCGGUGAAAUGCGCAGAUAUCAGGAAGAACACCCGUGGCGAAGGCGGUUCUCUGGGACGGUACUGACGCUGAGACGCGAAAGCGUGGGGAGCGAACAGG
rnacentral:rRNA from 1 species